rnacentral:lncRNA from 1 species
UCCUUCAGCAAGCCUCUUUUAAUGAUUUAAAAAAGAACUACUAACUUUUACAAAUAAUUGUGUUCAGAGACAGACUUUCAAUCUAAAGAAAAGAUCAAGGACCUAGCUCUCGUGGCAGAAUGCAGAAACAGAAGCCUCCAGAUUGAUCUCUGCAGAUGCUAACGUGGCCCACUUUGUCCUCAUAUUCAGCCUGAUCCUAAAGCCCUUACAACUAAGCCAAUACCUGCUUGGAUUCUUCUGACAACUGGCAAAGAUGUCACGUUCCACUUCUUAUCUCACCACCUCUUAACCACAAAUUGGCCCCAGUGGCUUUCAAAAGGGGGAAAAAAUUGUGCGAGUUUGAGACUGUUUAUGUAUUCAUGACUAAAACCAAAUCUGAGAUCUUUGGAACUCUUAGCUGGCCCUGGGGCAUGCGAGCCGCCUGUGCAUCCCUUUGGUCCACCUGGAGGCCCGUGAAGACCUUCAGUGGAAGGAAGAGUGGGUCAGAUGAGACGUGUCCAUUUCAUCAGUCAGCCAUCGGUGACAGGCUGAAUUCAGAGACCCAGGCCAGAGUGUACCAGCUACAAAAUUUAUCCAAGGAUUCCAAUUAUGCUUUAAAAAAUUCUACCAGAAGAAGUAAAAAACGAUG